GACUCGUCACACUAUCAUUAACUGAAUCCAUAGGUUAAUGAGGCGAACCGGGGGAACUGAAACAUCUAAGUACCCCGAGGAAAAGAAAUCAACCGAGAUUCCCCCAGUAGCGGCGAGCGAACGGGGAGGAGCCCAGAGCCUGAAUCAGCAUGUGUGUUAGUGGAAGCGUCUGGAAAGGCGCGCGAUACAGGGUGACAGCCCCGUACACAAAAGCGCAUGUGCUGUGAGCUCGAUGAGUAGGGCGGGACACGUGGUAUCCUGUCUGAAUAUGGGGGGACCAUCCUCCAAGGCUAAAUACUCCUGACUGACCGAUAGUGAACCAGUACCGUGAGGGAAAGGCGAAAAGAACCCCGGCGAGGGGAGUGAAAAAGAACCUGAAACCGUGUACGUACAAGCAGUGGGAGCACAGGUUUACCUGUGUGACUGCGUACCUUUUGUAUAAUGGGUCAGCGACUUAUAUUCUGUAGCAAGGUUAACCGAAUAGGGGAGC
rnacentral:rRNA from 3 species